UAGUCAACAUGAGAAGAGGGGCUAUAA
rnacentral:sRNA from 1 species